rnacentral:rRNA from 1 species
UUUGAUCCUGGCUCAGAUUGAACGCUGGCGGCAUGCCUGACACAUGCAAGUCGAACGGCAGCGGGGUUUAGUUUAGGCUAGAUUGCCGGCGAGUGGCGAACGGGUGAGUAAUACGCAGGAAUAUACCCUAAAGAGUGGGAUAACUUGUGGAAACGCAAGCUAAUACCGCAUAAGCUCUGAGGAGGGAAGCUGGGGACCUUUUGAGGCCUGGCGCUUUAGGAAUAGCCUGCGUCCGAUUAGCUAGUUGGUGGGGUAAAGGCUUACCAAGGCGAAGAUCGGUAGCUGGUCUGAGAGGAUGGACAGCCACACUGGAACUGAGAGACGGUCCAGACUCCUACGGGAGGCAGCAGUGGGGAAUAUUGGACAAUGGGGGCAACCCUGAUCCAGCGAUGCCGCGUGUGUGAAGAAGGCCUGAGGGUUGUAAAGCACUUUCGGUGGGGAGGAGGGUCACUAGAUUAAGAGUUAAGUG